rnacentral:tRNA from 1 species
GCGGGAUUAGCAAUCUGGUGAAUGCAGCCGACUCAUAAUCGGCCUUAGGCGGGUUCGAUUCCCGCAUCCCGCA